AACGAACGCUGGCGGCAGGCCUAACACAUGCAAGUCGAGCGCUCACUUCGGUGGGAGCGGCGGACGGGUUAGUAACGCGUGGGAACGUGCCCAGAUCUAAGGAAUAGCCACUGGAAACGGUGAGUAAUACCUUAUACGCCCUUCGGGGGAAAGAUUUAUCGGAUUUGGAUCGGCCCGCGUUAGAUUAGAUAGUUGGUGGGGUAACGGCCUACCAAGUCUACGAUCUAUAGCUGGUUUUAGAGGAUGAUCAGCAACACUGGGACUGAGACACGGCCCAGACUCCUACGGGAGGCAGCAGUGGGGAAUCUUGGACAAUGGGGGCAACCCUGAUCCAGCCAUGCCGCGUGAGUGAUGAAGGCCUUAGGGUCGUAAAGCUCUUUCGCCAGGGAUGAUAAUGACAGUACCUGGUAAAGAAACCCCGGCUAACUCCGUGCCAGCAGCCGCGGUAAU
rnacentral:rRNA from 1 species